ACCAACCGGGUGUUGGAUCAAAACCCGGCUUUAAGAAGUGCUUUCUUGAAGCAAGGCUUUGAUCCAGCACUCGGGUGGU